rnacentral:pre_miRNA from 1 species
GUCACCUGGGGAUCUUGUUAAAAUGCAGAUUCUGAUUUAGUGGGUCAGAGUUGGGCCCACAUUUCUGCAUUUCUAACAAGCUCCCAAGUAAUCCCAA